GACCUUGCUCUCUGAACUUUGCU
rnacentral:siRNA from 1 species